UCUCAUUGAGCCUGGAGAUGCUCUCACGCUGUCUUGUCUCCAAUUCCAGCUGAGAGCUUCUGCAGCGACACGAAUGCAUGCACGCCCACAAGCCACACACAAACACACACUACAGACGUGUCGUCACUGCCUCAGUCCCUGCCACUCCUGGCAGCCGGUUUUAUUACGGAGUGGUAGCGUUGAGGAAGAGAGAGACAGAGAGGGGGAAGCGGCUAUCUCUAAGCUGAAACAGGAGGCUUUACCUCUGCACCUGGCCGCUCACACGUCCCACCAUGUGAAUCGCUGUCGCCUCCUAGAGGAGAAGAACAGAUGUCUGAAACAUAAGCAGAGAUCCCUGGAGUCAGAGGUCAAUGAGAGGAGGAAAUGGUGUCAGAUCCUUGAGAGGGAAGUAAAAGACAAGACAUUAGCAUGUAAGACUUUGAAGAAUGAGCUUCAGGAUGCUUUGCUGGAGAGCAAACGGCUCAAUCGUGAGCUGUUCAGUCACAUCCUGAAGGCCACACAUUACGAGAAGGUGAAGUCAGACUAUGAUCAGCUCAGAAAGACGUUUGGUUGUUUGAGUCAAGAGAGGGACUUGGCCAGGCAGGAGAAAGCUCAGCUCCAAGACAAACUGGAGAACCUUGAGCAGGUCCUGGAGCAUAUGCGAGAGGCUGCGAACCGACGGCAGCAGUUGGAGGCAGAGCAUGAGCAGGCCCUGGCUUUCCUCAACUCCAGAAAGCAGGAGAUCUGCCUUCUGCAGAAGGUACAGGCUGAAACUGAGAAAGAACAUGAAGAAGUGGUUCAUCUGCUAGAGAGCCAUAUGGACAAAAUGCAGGUCAAAGUUCAUGACUUGGAGCAGAAAUGCCGGACACAGAGUGAGCAUUGCGAUAUUUUGUCGAAAGAGCUGGAGAAAUAUCACCUGGGGUCAGACACGGAGAAUACACUCAACAGUGACUCACAGGAGAAAAACUUGUGCAACAUUUACAAUAGCCUGCAGCAGCAGACAGAAAAAAGUGAUGAGAGAUCUGAUGGAUCUUCACUGGUCUCAGAACUGCCCAUAGUACAGCAACACAAAAGAGACAAGCCAGAGAAGCAGUCCAUCAAACCGAUCGUCCACACCCGGAGUCGCUCCAGCAGUCCUAUGCAAGCAUCUCUAUCAGAGAUGGAUGAUGAAGUGAGCCCAACUCCCAAGUCCAAGAUGAGAUACACAGGACAGGUCCGCCUCUGCACUGCUCGCUACAGUUAUAAUCCCUAUGAUGGACCUAAUGAGCAUCCUGAAGCAGAGCUCCCUCUUGUAGCAGGGAAGUACUUGUACAUCUAUGGGGAUAUGGAUGAUGAUGGAUUUUAUGAAGGAGAGCUUUUGGAUGGCCAGCGUGGCCUGGUUCCCUCUAAUUUUGUGGAGUUUGUCCAGGACAAGGAAAAGCCAUCUAUAGAGGUGGGAGAAGAGCAGGGUAGGCUGGAGCAUAGCUGUCUGAGCCUGACUGACAUAGAUGGAGGUGGUCCUCUGGACAGCCUUAGCAGUGACGUUCUCGGGCACUGUAGUAAUGGGACAGGCACUCUGGACGGAGAGGAGCUGAGUGACGACAUUGUGCCUUACCCCAGGAAGAUCAACCUUAUCAAACAGCUGGCGAGAAGUGUGAUAGUGGCCUGGGAGCCGCCUUUGGUACCUCUCGGCUGGGGAAAUAUCAAUGGGUACAAUAUCUUAGUGGAUGGGGAAGUACGUUCCUCUGUGCCCUUUGGGGGCAGGACCAAACUUCUUUUGGAGAAGCUAGACCUGGCUACCUGCACCUAUCGUGUAUCGGUACAGAGUGUGACAGAUAGGGGGCUCUCUGAUGAAUUACGGUGCACCUUGCUGGUGGGCCGCAAUGUGGUUGUGGCUCCCACCAGCCUGAGAAUGGAUGAUAUAUUGCGGGACUCUGCUGAACUUUUGUGGCUGCCCAGUAACAGUAACUAUGCCCAUGUUGUGUACUUGGAUGGUGUGGAGCAUGCUGUGGUGAAGCCGUGCUCUUACAGACUACGUUUUGUGAACCUGAAGGCUGCCACAGUAUACAAGGUAAAGGUGCUUGCCAAACCUCACCAGGUGCCCUGGCACAUGCCACUUGAGCAGAGGGAGAAGAGAGAGGCUGGGGUGGAGUUCUGUACCCAGGCUGCAGGGCCCCCUCUACCUCCUCAGGAAGUGCAGAUACAGUGUGGUCAAGCUCCAGGGAUCCUUCAAGUCCAUUGGAAGCCCCCUCCCAUGACACCUAUGGGUACCUCCAAUGGUGCAAAUGUGAUUGGCUACGCAGUGUGCACUAAGGGUCAGAGGAUUGCUGAGGUGUUGUAUCCACUGGCAGACUACGUGGCAGUAGAGUUGAACCGUCUCCAGUGCUUGGAGGCCCGAGAAGUUAUCGUCAGGACUUUAUCAGCACAAGGGGAAUCUCAAGACUCCCAUGUCGCCGUCAUUCCAAACCACCUGCUGGUGCCUCUUCCUAAAACUCAUCCUCCUCCUCACCACAUCCAGUCCCCUCUCCCACUCCAGCAGUCCCAACCCUUACCCCCUCAUCCAGCACCUUUGCCUCUUCCCCCUCACCCUGGACCCCAACCGCCCACCCAUCUCCAACCACUCCCUAUUCAUCCCAGCCAGCCGCUUCCUCACCUACAUCCCCACCAUAUGCCCCAUCCCACACAGCCCUCUCCCCCUCACCUCCAGCCUUUACCACCACACCUCAUCCCUCAACCCCAACCCACCAUCCCAAUGCCACAGCCCCAAUUGUCAAUGCCUAUGCCUCAACCUCAACAGCCCAUCCCCAUGCUACAACCCCAGCCAACCAUCCCUAUGCCUCAGCCUCACAUUCCCCAGCUGCCCAUUCCCCAAUCCCAAAGACCACUAAGUGCCAGAGAGCUGGAAACCAAAGAGCCAGGGCCAGGAAUGCUUCAUUAUGGAGGGGGCCCAUCUCAGCCAUGGGAGCCCGGCUGCUCCCCAUCAGGCAUGCCCUCAGGCCUGCCACAUGGACACACACUGGAUGCUCCACCCUGCCCCAACCGUCGUUCCCCAUCACCUCAAAGGAUCCUCCCCCAGCCCAGGGGUACACUCAUCCCUGACACUGUGGCCAAGGCUAUUGCCAGAGAGGCAGCACAAAGGGUGGCAGUGGAGAGUGGACGGAUGGAGAGGAGAAGCCAGGGCUUUCACUCUCAAAAUUCAGAUGAGGAAGAGGAUGAGGAAAGCUAUCAGGCUCGAAGAAGAGGAGCAUCUGUGGAUGACUUCCUCAGGGGCUCAGAGCUGGGCAGGCAGUCUCAUUACAGUCACAGUGAAGAGUAUCAGACAGAGAGUAGCCGAGGCUCGGACCUGUCGGACAUCUUGGAAGAGGAUGAGGAGGAGUUGUAUUCAGAAAUGCAUGAAGAAGGCAGGCGAUGGCACUCCCACAAUGCAACCAAGACUGGAGGAGGCACUCAAUCUUCGAGUCAACUGGAUCGGGAGUCAUAUCAGAAGUCAGCUCACAGAGGCCCUCAACCUCAGCGUCGCCCUCUCACUGUCCCAUCCAUUGGUCAGUGCUCUCCCAAUGGCUAUCGGGACCAAAGCCGUCGUUCUCCUCUGUACUAUGAUGAGUCUGAGCAGGAGGAUCCGUUCCGAAUCUUUGUGGCUCUGUUCGACUAUGACCCUUCCUCUAUGUCUCCUAACCCUGAUGCUGCUGAUGAGGAGCUCCCUUUUAAAGAGGGACAGAUAAUCAAGGUGUAUGGAGAUAAGGAUAAUGAUGGCUUUUAUCGCGGGGAGAUCCGGGGCAGGUCUGGACUUAUUCCCUGUAACAUGGUGUCAGAGAUCCGUGCUGAGGAUGAUGAGACAAUGGAGCAGCUCAUGAAACAGGGCUUUCUCCCUCUCAACACCCCUGUGGACAGAAUAGAACAAAAUAGGAGAGGUCGCCACCCAGUGGCCACUAGAAGAAUGGUUGCAUUAUACGACUACGACCCACGAGAGAGCUCCCCAAAUGUGGAUGUUGAGGCUGAACUGACAUUCUGUGCUGGCGACAUCAUCGCUGUUUUUGGGGAUAUUGAUGAAGAUGGGUUCUAUUGUGGUGAGCUUAAUGGACAUCGGGGCUUAAUUCCAUCCAACUUUCUAGAAGAAGUGCCUGAUGACGUGGAGGUCUACCUGACGGACACUCCAUCCCACCACAGUCAGGACGAGCCAACUCCAGCACUGGCGCAGCGCCCGGAGGCCAAACGGGUACACCAUCGCCGUUCUCAGCGCUAGGCCCUGUGUACAUUCAUCCUCCGUUUGAGUUAUCGGUCCACUCGCCGUCUCUGUGUUUUCUUGUGCUUGUUUGUUUUUUUGUUGUGUGACCGUGGUGGUGAUUUCCAGUCCAACCUUUCUUGCUUUAUGAAAGGGAGAAGCAAAGCCCACUGCAAACAGAGCAUUUCAGAGCAUAGAGAGAACAAGACACUAUUAAGAGUGCGUGUGCUUGUAGAGCAUCGUCACAGGACUGUGGGGGAAAAGGCCAAAUUUAAUUUCUGCUCUGGACUUUGAAUAAGAGCAUAAAGCUCCUUUGCACUGAGACACUACUAAGUGAAAUAGUAUGCAUUAGUCAAAGUGCUUUGUGAAAGCCAUAGGGUCUGUGGCUCUUGAUUUGUGACCCUAUUAAAAGACUGAUUUGCAAACUGACGUAAGUUGUCAUCACAAGAGAUGCAUGCCUGUUUUUUUCAGAAUAGACUUAUACCUUUUAUAUCAAAAAAUAUAUUACUGAAAAUAAUGUAUUUCUUUGAGGAGGCUUUGUUUCUUUGUGUAUGUUACACAUCGUCAAAAAUCUAGAUCUUAUGAACUAGCAGAACAUCAUCCCAUCUCCUCCAGAGAGACUAAAAUGAUAACAUUCAUGCUGUAAACAUAAAUCGAAAUAAAUGAGGAACUGAAACAAUCAUGUAUUUUUGCUAUUUGACAUUAAGUGAACAUACAAUAUAUGUUCAUUUGUGUGUAUGUGUCGUCGUUGUUGUUGUUUUUCUCCUCAUAUUUGAUGUUUGAAUGUUAUUUAAUGAUUGCUGCUUUCUGAUUUCCUUUUUUCCCACCGGCUUUGCCAAAAAACAAAAAUCUGAGGAAUAUUGUUCAUUUCCCACCCUAGCAGACUCUUGUCUUGCUAGGUGCCUGUGGAAACUACAGUCCCAGCUCCGGCCCCUGGAAGACCAGCCUCCCCCACUGUGCGUCCUUUGCUCCCUGUUGGUCCAAUGAGGCCGUUGAGCCCUGCCAGGGCUCCACGAGAUUUGGCCUCUAAAAAG